rnacentral:rRNA from 1 species
GACGAACGCUGGCGGCGUGCCUAAUACAUGCAAGUUGAGCGCUGAAGGUUGGUACUUGUACCGACUGGAUGAGCAGCGAACGGGUGAGUAACGCGUGGGGAAUCUGCCUUUGAGCGGGGGACAACAUUUGGAAACGAAUGCUAAUACCGCAUAAAAACUUUAAACACAAGUUUUAAGUUUGAAAGAUGCAAUUGCAUCACUCAAAGAUGAUCCCGCGUUGUAUUAGCUAGUUGGUGAGGUAAAGGCUCACCAAGGCGAUGAUACAUAGCCGACCUGAGAGGGUGAUCGGCCACAUUGGGACUGAGACACGGCCCAAACUCCUACGGGAGGCAGCAGUAGGGAAUCUUCGGCAAUGGACGAAAGUCUGACCGAGCAACGCCGCGUGAGUGAAGAAGGUUGUCGGAUCGUAAAACUCGGUUGGUAGAGAAGAACGUUGGUGAGAGUGGAAAGCUCAUCAAGUGACGGUAACUACACAGAAAGGGACGGCUAACUACGUG